rnacentral:rRNA from 1 species
GACGAACGCUGGCGGCGUGCCUAAUACAUGCAAGUUGAGCGAUGAAGAUUGGUGCUUGCACCAAUUUGAAGAGCAGCGAACGGGUGAGUAACGCGUGGGGAAUCUGCCUUUGAGCGGGGGACAACAUUUGGAAACGAAUGCUAAUACCGCAUAACAACUUUAAACAUAAGUUUUAAGUUUGAAAGAUGCAAUUGCAUCACUCAAAGAUGAUCCCGCGUUGUAUUAGCUAGUUGGUGAGGUAAAGGCUCACCAAGGCGAUGUUACAUAGCCGACCUGAGAGGGUGAUCGGCCACAUUGGGACGGAGACACGGCCCAAACGCCUACGGGAGGCAGCAGUAGGGAAUCGUCGGCAAUGGACGAAAGUCUGACCGAGCAACGCCGCGUGAGUGAAGAAGGUUGUCGGAUCGUAAAACUCUGUUGGUAGAGAAGAACGUUGGUGAGAGUGGAAAGCUCAUCAAGUGACGGUAACUACCCAGAAAGGGACGGCUAACUACGUG